CCUACGGGUGGCAGCAGUGAGGAAUAUUGGUCAAUGGACGAGAGUCUGAACCAGCCAAGUAGCGUGAAGGAUGACUGCCCUAUGGGUUGUAAACUUCUUUUAUAUGGGAAUAAAAUGUUCCACGUGUGGGAUUUUGUAUGUACCAUAUGAAUAAGGAUCGGCUAACUCCGUGCCAGCAGCCGCGGUAAUACGGAGGAUCCGAGCGUUAUCCGGAUUUAUUGGGUUUAAAGGGAGCGUAGGUGGAUUGUUAAGUCAGUUGUGAAAGUUUGCGGCUCAACCGUAAAAUUGCAGUUGAAACUGGCAGUCUUGAGUACAGUAGAGGUGGGCGGAAUUCGUGGUGUAGCGGUGAAAUGCUUAGAUAGCACGAAGAACUCCGAGUGCGAAGGCAGUUCACUAGACUGCAACUGACACUGAGGCUCGAAAGUGUGGGUAUCAAACAGGAUUAGAUACCCUUGUAGUC
rnacentral:rRNA from 1 species